AAUAGAUACCCGGGUAGUCCACGCUGUAAACGUUGGGCGCUAGGUGUGGGGGGCCUCUCCGGUUCUCUGUGCCGCAGCUAACGCAUUAAGCGCCCCGCCUGGGGAGUACGGCCGCAAGGCUAAAACUCAAAGGAAUUGACGGGGGGCCCGCACAAGCGGCGGAGCAUGCGGAUUAAUUCGAUGCAACGCGAAGAACCUUACCUGGGUUUGACAUGGCCGCAAAACCGGCAGAGAUGUCGGGUCCUUCGGGGGCGGUCACAGGUGGUGCAUGGCUGUCGUCAGCUCGUGUCGUGAGAUGUUGGGUUAAGUCCCGCAACGAGCGCAACCCUCGUUCGAUGUUGCCAGCGGUUCGGCCGGGGACUCAUCGAAGACUGCCGGGGUCAACUCGGAGGAAGGUGGGGAUGACGUCAAGUCAUCAUGCCCCUUAUGUCCAGGGCUUCACGCAUGCUACAAUGGCCGGUACAAUGGGCUGCGAUACCGUGAGGUGGAGCGAAUCCCGAAAAAGCCGGUCUCAGUUCGGAUCGGGGUCUGCAACUCGA
rnacentral:rRNA from 1 species